GGGAGUAUAGGUUACAUUGAGGAGAAAGCAAGAGGGAACAGAGUAGGAGAACGUAAGAAAUAGGCGAGAGAGGCGAGAACAACAGAAGGAAAAAAAAAGGGAACAAAAGCAGGGGGGGAGGAGAACAUCAGAGGAAAGUAAGAAAACCAGAGGGGGGAACGAGACAACGAGGGGAGAAAACAGAAAAGGCAACGAGAAAAAGAAAUAAAAACCAGAGAGGAGUGUAAAGAAGAGAGAGGCAGAGGGAAGGAGCAGGAAGAGAGAAAGCAAAGAGAAGGCGAAACCAACAGAGGAGAACGAGACAGCAAAGUCAGAAAACGCGACACCGACAGAAGAGUUGAGCCACCAUCUGCUCUUUUCUCUUCCAGAACGAAGGAAAUACCAGAGGAAGCCACCAUCACCACCGGCUUCACUUUCUUCAGAACCAGGGAACCAGCAGAGGAGGCCAGCAUCACCACAGGAUUUUCCUUCUCCAGAAUCACGAACCCAGCAGAGCAGCACAACCAUCGACCUCCUUUCUCCAAAACCAGUCUCCAGAACGAUGGAAACAACAGAGGAAGCCACCAUCACCAUCGGCUUCACUUUCUUCAGAACCAGGGAACCAGCAGAGGAGGCCAGCAUCACCAUAGGCUUUUCCUUCUCCAGAAUCACGAAGCCAGCGGAGUAGGUUAGCGCAACCAUCAGCUUCCUUUCUCCAAAACCAGAAGGAUUGUCAACUCAAAUUAACAAAGCUUCGAAGGAUUAUCAAAUUCGUGGCUUGACUGUCCAUGGAAGAGCUCCACCAGUCUCCCAUCAAUUCCUUAAGAAGGAUGAGAGUCCCGUGUUCUCCAUUCUCCAGAGUUAACAACCAAUAGGUGGAAACUUCGUUUCAAGCAUUGCAAACUCACUGCAACCUUCGAUAAAUCUGAGCUCUCUUUUAGCCGAUAAGUGUUCAAAAAGAUAAUUUGUUUUAAUUUGUUUUUUUUAGUUUAUUUGAUUUGAAAUAUUUUGGGUUAUGUUUUAUAAUUAAAUUUUUUUAAUUUUAUUUUUUAAUAUUUAAGCUAAUUAAAAAUUAAAUUUUAUAAUUUAUUUUUUAAAAUGUUAUCUAUCUCAGUCUCAAUUUAAGUCAAGGGUUUAACGGGUUUCUCAUUUCAAGAUCCGUACAUUUCACCCUCAAACAUCCUGUUUUUCCAGCUUUUAUUAGCAGUGUCAUCACUAUCAAUGAAUACCCACCUUUUGAAAUAUAUAAUAAAA